rnacentral:miRNA from 1 species
GUUUCUCGAUGUUUUCUGAU